UGGUUCAGCAGGUAGAAUGGAUGAAUAGUCAGGAAAAGUAAUUAUCAUCUGUAGUAUAGGAGUUGGUAUCUCGGGGUAGUAUAAGGAGGAUGGGAGAGGGGAAGAAAAGGCCAGACUAUGAGAGUUGUAAGCCGGAGUAAGGUUGGUACUACCUCUUUUUUUUUUUUUGUUAUUUUCUUUGAAUAAGAGGAUUGAAAGUUUCUGAAUAUUGUGAAGUGAAUUAUGGAAUGGAAAUGUGAUUGGUAUUAUUUGAGAAGAAGAAAGAUUGAAUGCUGAAAUCUGAUUGUAGUUCAGCAGAGAGAAUGAGUCUAUAUUUGUGUGAAACACUGUAAUGUGAAUGGCAAUUCUGUGUGAAGAAUUCCAGUGAUUGGAACGAGGAUAAUUGUGUGCUGAAAGUUGUGAGGGCACAGUAUUACAAUUGGAGAUUAUAAGGGUGAAUAUAUUGGUAGAAAUAGCAGUUAUUGGUAUGACUGAAUUGUUGUAAGGAAGAGACCAAUAAGAUGAAGGAGGAGAUUAUAGUUUCUUUCUGUGUUCAAAUAUUGGAAAUAGAGACGAUACAUUCAGGAGGUAAUUGAUUGUGUGACCCUAAUGUGAACGCUUAAGCAACUAUUCAUUCCUUGUGUUCGAAUCUCCCUAUACUGAUUUAUGUUGGGAAGUUUCUUCUGGAAUAAGUAAAACGAG
rnacentral:lncRNA from 1 species